rnacentral:rRNA from 1 species
CACGGGGGUUGCGAGCGUUGUCCGGAAUUACUAGGCGUAAAGGGCAGGCAGGCGGAUACAUAAGUUUAUCGUUUAAGGCGUCGGCUUAACCGGCGUAGGGCGGUAGAUACUGUGGAUCUGGAAUGCGGUUGGGGAAGACAGAAUUCCUGGUGUAGCGGUGGAAUGCGCAGAGAUCAGGAGGAAUACCGAAGGCGAAGGCAGUCUUCCAAGCCGUUAUUGACGCUCAACUGCGAAGGUGUGGGUAUCAAACAGGAUUAGAUACCCCUGUAGUCCCUGAG